rnacentral:rRNA from 1 species
GAUAAACGCUGGCGGCGUGCCUUAUGCAUGCAAGUCGAACGGUCAAUCGCAAGAAAGAUAGUGGCAAACGGGUGAGUAAUACGUAAGUGACCUGUCCUUAAGUGGGGAAUAAUCUACCGAAAGGUGGACUAAUACCGCAUGUUGUGAUGAGGGUGAUGCUUCAUCAAGAAAGCCGUAAGGCGCUUUUGGAGGGGCUUGCGUCCGAUUAGCUAGUUGGUAAGGUAAUGGCCUACCAAGGCGAGGAUCGGUAGCUGGUCUGAGAGGACGAUCAGCCACACUGGGACUGAGACACGGCCCAGACUCCUACGGGAGGCAGCAGCAAGGAAUAGUAGGCAAUGGGCGAAAGCCUGACCUCGCGACGCCGCGUGAAGGAUGAAGGCCUUCGGGUCGUAAACUUCUUUUCUCAGGGAUGAAUAAUGACAGUACCUGGGGAAUAAGUCACGGCUAACUACGUGCCAGCAGCCGCCGCCGUAA